rnacentral:tRNA from 1 species
GGUGCUGUGGCUCAGUGGGUUAAAGCCCUGGUCUGCAGUGCUGGCAUCCUGUACGGGCUCUGGUUCAAGUCCUGGCUGCUCCA